UCUACCCACAAACGAAAGCCCAAAUGCCAGUCUUUGGUGGCAAUCUGUACAUGCAGAUGUGCGGCCUCAGAAUACCUCCAAAAAAUCCACUAAAUGGGGGACUCCUACAUCCUGGAAGAUGGUGGUACCACAAACUGGGAAGAGCCUCUGUCCCUGGCACCAAGUAGAGGAAAGCUGCUUGCCAUGAGGAACACUCCCAGUGGACUAUAACGUGGGCAAGAAACUUCUACAGUAUUAAGCCUCUUAGCAGUUUGGGAUUUACAUUUUAAAGCAGUUAGUGACUAUUAGAGAGCAAAUCAAUGUAUUCAUCUGGUACACUUCAUCAGACAUUAUGCCUAAUAUU